rnacentral:rRNA from 1 species
UACGUAGGGGGCGAGCGUUGUCCGGAUUUAUUGGGCGUAAAGAGCUCGUAGGCGGUUUGGUAAGUCGGGUGUGAAAUCUCCACGCUCAACGUGGAGGGGCCACUCGAUACUGCCAUGACUCGAGUCCGGUAGAGGAGUGUGGAAUUCCCGGUGUAGCGGUGAAAUGCGCAGAUAUCGGGAGGAACACCCGUAGCGAAGGCGGCACUCUGGACCGGCAUUGACGCUGAGGCGCGAAAGCCAGGGGAGCAAAGCGGG